rnacentral:rRNA from 1 species
UACGUAGGGGGCAAGCGUUGUCCGGAAUUAUUGGGCGUAAAGGGCGCGUAGGUGGUCAGGUAAGUCAGGUGUGAAAGCUCUGGGCUUAACCCAGGAAUUGCAUCUGAUACUGCUUGGCUUGAGUACGGUAGAGGAGGGUGGAAUUCCCAGUGUAGCGGUGAAAUGCGUAGAUAUUGGGAGGAACACCGGUGGCGAAGGGGGCCCUCUGGACCGAAACUGACACUGAAGCGCGAAAGCUAGGGGAGCAAACGGG